rnacentral:rRNA from 1 species
GAUGAACGCUGGCGGCGUGCCUAAUACAUGCAAGUCGAGCGAAUGGAUUAAGAGCUUGCUCUUAUGAAGUUAGCGGCGGACGGGUGAGUAACACGUGGGUAACCUGCCCAUAAGACUGGGAUAACUCCGGGAAACCGGGGCUAAUACCGGAUAACAUUUUGAACUGCAUGGUUCGAAAUUGAAAGGCGGCUUCGGCUGUCACUUAUGGAUGGACCCGCGUAGCAUUGGCUAGUUCGUGAGGUAACGGCUCACCAAGGCAACGAUGCGUAGCCGACCUGAGAGGGUGAUCGGCCACACUGGGACUGAGACACGGCCCAGACUCCUACGGGAGGCAGCAGUAGGGAAUCUUCCGCAAUGGACGAAAGUCUGACGGAGCAACGCCGCGUGAGUGAUGAAGGCUUUCGGGUCGUAAAACUCUGUUGUUAGGGAAGAACAAGUGCUAGUUGAAUAAGCUGGCACCUUGACGGUACCUAACCAGAAAGCCACGGCUAACUACGUGCCAGCCGCCGCCGUAA